rnacentral:rRNA from 1 species
UACGUAGGGCGCGAGCGUUGUCCGGAAUCAUUGGGCGUAAAGAGCUCGUAGGCGGCCGGUUGCGUCUGCUGUGAAAACCCGGGGCUCAACUCCGGGCCUGCAGCCGAUACGGGCAGACUAGAGUUCGGCAGGGGAGACUGGAAUUCCUGGUGUAGCGGUGAAAUGCGCAGAUAUCAGGAGGAACACCGGUGGCGAAGGCGGGUCUCUGGGCCGAUACUGACGCUGAGGAGCGAAAGCGUGGGGAGCGAACAGG